rnacentral:rRNA from 1 species
GAUGAACGCUGGCGGCGUGCCUAACACAUGCAAGUCGAACGGAGAUUACGGACGGAAGUUUUCGGAUGGAAGCCUGUAAUUCUUAGUGGCGGACGGGUGAGUAACGCGUGGGCAACCUGCCCUAUACAGGGGGAUAGCAGCUGGAAACGGCUGGUAAGACCGCAUAAGUCGGUUAAAUCGCAUGAUCUGAUCGGGAAAUGAGCAAUCAGGUAUAGGAUGGGCCCGCGUCCGAUUAGCCAGUUGGCAGGGUAAAAGCCUACCAAAGCGACGAUCGGCAGCCGGACUGAGAGGUCGGACGGCCACAUUGGGACUGAGACACGGCCCAAACUCCUACGGGAGGCAGCAGUGGGGGAUAUUGCACAAUGGAGGAAACGCUGAUGCAGCGACGCCGCGUGAGUGAAGAAGUAUUUCGGUAUGUAAAGCUCUAUCAGCAGGGAAGAUGAUGACGGUACCUGACUAAGAAGCCCCGGCUAACUACGUG